UGGGGUAUAGCUCAGUGGUAAAGCCCUUGCCUCACAUGCAUGGAGCCCUGGGUUCAAUCCCAGUUCCCCAC
rfam:Ictidomys tridecemlineatus contig006569, whole genome shotgun sequence.